AACAAACGCUGGCGGCGUGCCUAACACAUGCAAGUCGUACGAGAAAGUUGGCUUCGGCCAAUGAGUAAAGUGGCGCACGGGUGAGUAACGCGUGGAUAAUCUGCCCUUCAGCGGGGAAUAACCCAUCGAAAGGUGGGCUAAUACCCCAUAACACUGUUUUACAACUGUCAAACAGUCAAAGAGAGCCUCUGCUUGCAAGCUUUUACUGAAGGUUGAGUCCGCGUACCAUUAGCUAGUUGGUAGGGUAAUGGCCUACCAAGGGGACGAUGGUUAGCUGGUCUGAGAGGAUGAUCAGCCACACUGGAACUGAGACACGGUCCAGACUCCUACGGGAGGCAGCAGUGAGGAAUCUUGCGCAAUGGGGGAAACCCUGACGCAGCAACGCCGCGUGAGUGAGGAAGGUCUUCGGGUCGUAAAGCUCUGUCAGGCGGGAAGAAAUGCAUGGAGGUGAACAGCCGCCAUGCUUGACGGUACCGCCAGAGGAAGCACCGGCUAACUCCGUGCCAGCCGCCGCCGUAACAC
rnacentral:rRNA from 1 species